rnacentral:lncRNA from 1 species
AAAGACGGAGAUCCAGUGAACCUCCAUUCCCCUAGAAAAAAGACUCAUCAAGCGUCCAUCAAGCACAAAAAAGCACUGCUACUUGCCUUAAACAAAGGCUGAUCCAAAUAAACAUCCUCCAAACCCUAUUUUCGGUGUGGUUAAAGCAAAUUCAAUCAUCAUCGAGCAAACAAACAAAUAAAGAGAAUUUGUGGAACUCACGAGAAAAAGCAAGAAUCCAUAGAAAACAUAAAUCUGCUUGUCCAUGAGCACCUUUGCUUUCGCAUCGCUUCGUAUUCUCUGAGCUAUAUAAUCACAAAACACAGAGAAUCAUAGGCAGAUGCUUGUUUGUUGAUUAAAAACAUCAGAUCCAUAGAUGACACAAACAGGGAAACAAACUUAAAAAUAUAAAAUCAUAGAAUCACACAAGAGAAGACAGAGACUGAUACUAUAA